CAGUCGCCACGGUAAUACGAGGGGGGCAAGCGUUGUUCGGAAUUAUUGGGCGUAAAGGGUGCGUAGGCGGUUUCGCAAGUCUUGUGUGAAAUCUAUGGGCUCAACCCAUAGUCUGCACAGGAAACUGCGAGGCUUGAGGAUGGGAGAGGUGAGUGGAAUUUCCGGUGUGGCGGUGAAAUGCGUAGAUAUCGGAAGGAACACCUGUGGCGAAAGCGGCUCACUGGACCAUUUCUGACGCUGAUGCACGAAAGCUAGAGGAGCAAACAGGAUUAGAUACCCCCGUAGUCCCUGUCUCUUAUAC
rnacentral:rRNA from 1 species